CGCACAGAAAACUGUCGCCGAAGUGCGUGUGUCGGCGCAGUGUGAGCCACCGUGUGGCAUACGAUACGUUCGCUCCACGCCAUCCCCCGUUCCUUUCUCUCUCUCCCGUUGGCGCCGUCCUCCUUCUGCUCUGUGCUCGCCAAAGUCAAUCGCCUUCCUCUCUGUCUUCCAGUCUGUCCGCAUUCUGUUUGCUUUUUAACUUUUUCUGGGUGUGGGAAGAGCUCGUCGGCCAUGGAAGCGUAGCGACUCAAAGGUGACAGAGAACAAGGAAGUGAUAGCAAGUUUCCGACGCGAGCGCCGAGGCACCGACAGGCGCACGAGUGACAGCAAACGCCGACCAAUCAGACGCACUCAGACGCACGCGCACGGUACUACGGGGGCAGUACAGCCAUGUGGCGGUACGCCGCCGAAUGCUCUCGAGGUAAGUCUUCACGUGGGCUCGGGGAGGGUGUGCGGAUGAGAGCAGUGAGGGGGAGGGUGCAGAUUCCGCGAGCUCUUGCCCCUCUCCUGCCUGCCUCGCUCUCCACUGGAAUUGCACACCACCAAACGAUAACAACUCCAGAUGGCGAGGCAACCACACAGACAGACAUAGACAGAGACGUUAACAUGCUGAAAAGCAAUACGCACAAAUUCGAUCUAUUUUUUUUCCGUUCUCCGUAUGCAAGUCAAGUUCCAAACAAAAAAAGAAACGGAGAAGUCAGUACGAACAUAUAGGAAAGACAGCACAGCACAGACACAUGAUACGUGCCAGCACUCUAUCACACAUCACCCCUCGCACACACACACUCACUUGCGGGGGUUCUGGGCUUUGUUUUUUUUUUUCGUUGCUUUACGUUUUUUUUCUACUUCUUUUUGCAUUUUCCAAAACAGGUGAAGAGAGAGAGAAAGCGAGAUGGAAUUUUGGCAUACAGAUUUGUGUUUGCGUAUCAGAUAGUGUUGUUGCGGCGCUUUUGCCUUUUCUCCUUUGCGGGCAAACUGCACUGCAGCGUCCCCAUCCUUUCCUGAGCACCCCCGUGCCCCCCCUCCACUUACUCCGCGUGCGAGCCUUUUCUCUCCAUUCAGUGUUUCAUCUCUCUCUAUCAUACCCCCCUCCCUCCCUCCUCCUCUGAGAAUAAAGAGAAAAGAUGUGUGGUGCUUUCGUUUUUCUUCUUCGUCCUGCUCCUCUCUUUGUGGCGCGAGCCGUGACGCUCGCCUCUGCCGAUGUACGGUGUCAAAAAGACAACCACGCAGGCGCAGAGGGAGAGAACGGGCGAACGCGUAGCGCGGGGGAGAAAGUGAUGACGAUAUGACCUAGAGUCCAGUAAGUGUGCAGCUUCACCAUAAAGCGUCUUGCUGUUACCUCGAUGCUUGUUGACUGCCAAAGACAAAAAAACGUCGGUUGUGCUUGCCGUAGGUUUGCGUGAGGCUUUCGUCGCCGUCGUCUCUCCUUCUCCUUCUAUCGAUUGACUUUUACUUUUUUCUCUCGUUUCGGAGAUGGCGGGAGACGGCGGAGCGGCGGCGGCAUCGGCGGAUAUGAUGCUGCACGGCAGCCACCGGUGGUUGUCUCUCCCUUCUCUGUUUCUUUGUUUCCUUGGUGUGAUUCACCACCAUCACCAUGAGCACAACACCCCUGUUCUCCAACGAUCCCCACAUAACGGGGCUCUGUGGGUGGGGGAGGGGGUUGUCUGUAUGCCUCCCUUCUCUUCUUUGUUUUUCGGCUUAGGAGCGUGUAUACCUCUGAGUGGGUGCGUGCGUGUGAUUUCAUGGGCGCGCGUCCAUCUCUUUCUCUUGGUGCCGCCGACUAUUUCGUCUCUACUACCCCCUCCCUCCCUCCCCGCCCCGUACCUCUUUGUUUUUUGUGUUUUUUUUUGGUUUCUUUGGAUGUCUCCCCCUUCUCCCACCACCCUCCUUUUUUUGUAUUCUGGCGUCUUUAAUGUCGUUGUUUGCACAGUUGCUCGCUGCAUCCGUCGGCCUGCCUGUCGUCUUCACUUGUUUCCCUUUUUUGUUGUCGUUGCUUUUUUUUUGUUCCUUCGCUUCCGUUCUUCUUUCCCCACCCCUUUUUUUUGUCGUUAGCCCAGGACAGCGUCAUGCGCGGUCGCGUCGGAUGUGUCGUAGUUCGCCGUGGCUCGCACACACGUCGCGUAACAAAACGAAAAGGGAGACAAACAAAAAGCAUACAUGCACACACACAAAACCACCAAAAGACAUACGAGGAGAGAGAGAAAAGAAAAAGACGAUGAAAAGGAAACGGAAAAACCUGUAAGAGGCGAAGGCCCCUGUGCUUGUACUGCAUACUGCCAUUCCCCUCUCUGUAUCCUCUCUUAGCACGCGGGAGUGGGCAUCGCCACGUUGUCGCCUCGCUUUCGUUUCUCUUUUAUUUUUGACAGAAAAGUAGAGGAAGGAAUGCGUGAGAAUGAUUUUGUGCAUUCACGCACAUCAUCCAUGCGUGCAACACUCGGACACGCACAAGACAAAAGCACAUCGCUCACACGCGCGCACAUCCCAGCAUGUCGUUUUCUGUAUUGGUCUCUCAUGAGCAAACGCGAAAAUGAGUAAAAAGGGAAAACAAAAGAGUCGGGGGGAGGGGGAUCGGUUUGCUCACAGCAGCGGCGCUCCGCGGCCUACGAAGCCGCUACGUCGCAUGGAAUGGUCCACCGCUGUCACAGACGAGUUCGUGGGCGAGAGAACAAGCAAACGUGGCUUAGGACAGUCUCGGUGGCUUCGCGAGGGACCGGUGAGCAUACAACUCACCUGCCCUUUCUCUUUCGCCAACGUUUUUUUGUUUGCUGUUUGUUUUUUUUUCUUGUAGCUGGCUCGCUGUCUCUUCUCCAACAUACACAUGCGCCUUCCCUUCUUAUACGUAUAUAUUGCCUUUUUUGUCUUCUCUUCCGCACUCCCACUCCUAGACACUGACCGCCUGUUGCCGCGGCACUUUGGUGCGAUGCCAUCACAUGCUGGCCAGCUGUAUCACACCACAUAAUGACUAUGAAAAGAGCCGGCGUGGGUAUUUUGUGCAUAUGGUUUCGCAUAUUAUGGUGAAGGUGUGUCUUGGACAGUAAACGCCGACGGGCAACUCUCUCUCGCGCGCGCGCGCUCCUCCUUCUCCGCACCUCCUCCUCCUCUCUUCCUCUCUACGCCAGCAGGUCAGUGCACCAGUCCCUGCGGAGAUUUUAUUUUUCGUUUGCAUGUUCAUUUUAUUGCUUUCUUUUAUUGAUCUUUGUACGCUUUUCUCGAUGCAUAACAGUGCGCCGAUAUCGAGGACAUGAUCGAGUUUGUUCCUCUUGCCCAGCGGAAAGAUAGUGCUUGAUUCUACCUGUCAUCUUCGCUAAAGGGCUCCAGCCACCUUUUGGUUCCUUCUCUCUCUCUCGUUGCUUUCACUGUGCGUGUCUUCCAGAGUGAAUCUUCUCCACAAG
rnacentral:misc_RNA from 1 species